rnacentral:lncRNA from 1 species
CAAAUGAAGACAGUCCUUCAGCAGACAGAGUUUGGUGAACCAACUCAAUUUUAUUCCAGAAUACGAGGAAUAUAUAGGAUUGGGGAGUCAGAGGACAAGCCCUAAUUUACAUUAAGAGGCACACUCCUAUCACAAGGGUUAGUAUGUGGCAGUUGGAUGCUAUUGCAGAGCUCCUAGUUCAAGUCUUCUUAACAGGGAUCUGUGCCAAGAAUCAAGCUAAAGAUGAAUCAGGCAUCUGGUUUUAGAGUCAGGCUCUGGUUUAGGGACAGCUUUCAGAUAAGGUCAGUCCUCCAGGCUCAGGGAAAUUCCCCAGAUAAGGCUAGGUAAAGAGCAGGAAGCUUUUCUAGGGAGGGAGGGAGCUCCAUGUGGCUGAGCUUAUUGAGAUAAGCUACUAGGCCAUGGAAAGCCUGAAACCUCUGACCAGCUGGCAAUGUCUUCCAAUACAUGUUACCAAGAUUCUGUUUGAGACACUCUUGGCCAUACCCCAGGAAUAAUUAAAGAUCAGUGGCAGUUCAAGCUGGCGGAUCUUGGUAGCCCUGCUCUUCAUUUAACUGGCAGUGGAGAAAAGCACAGCAAACAUGGAAGACAGGGAAGGCAGCAGAGCAAUGGUGCAGGUCGGUUGGUCUGAAGAAAAGUGAAAACAGCAUGUGCUACAGCCUUCCCUGCCUUAUGAGUGGAAUCAGUUUCCGGAGAACCCCAAAAAGGGUGUCACUGGUGUUGGGGAAUAAAGAUUGAGUGCUUUUAAUUUGAAAUCAGAAAUCCGCAGCUGUUUACAGUUCAAGUUACGACACGGAUUGUGGCCUCGUGCAUCUCUGCACAUGGAAAAAGUGAAUGCAGACUGGAAUGGUGAUUUCAUCAGGAAACGGUACACAGCCCUCCACUAUUCAUCAUGCUGCAGCCACCGUGAUAAGGUGGGACACCGCGUUGAGGGCUCACAUUCAAAUGGUGAAGACAGAUAACAAACAGCAGCAUAAAAGUUACCAAAGGAAUUACAAAUCGAGUGCUGAGUGGGUGGUUGCCAGCUGAAACUUCAAAUGGAAUCAAUAACCGAAGCUGAUGUCUGGAAUCCACAAAUAAACCAGGGCUGCUGUGCAUCCAAGGGCAUCCGUGCCACUGAACCCAGCUGAGUCAUGUUACUAGUGGUGGAAAAACCCGAAGCAAACAGAACAGACCUGUGUGUGCACUUGUGAAAGGAGGGCUUGUGUCACCACUGCAUCUGGGGAGACUGCGUACCUUCUUGCACAGGAACACCAUGAACCUGCUGUAUGCUGUUCUGCAGACAUAGUGUUGCCCAAGGCAGACAUGGUAUCUGCCUUCAUGGGACUUACAGUUGGAAGGAAGGACUGAUACCAUUUGUGACCAGCACUGAAAAUGUUUGUUCAAGAGUUUUCUCAUAGAGGGUGAGUAAUGUGAGAGCUAUCAGGUAAGAUGAGGCCUGCCAGAGGCAGCUUGCAUAUCAUUUGAAGUAGUUUUUAUCCUAAGAGAAAGAAGAGAACACUUUCCAGUUCAAAUGGAUGGUGUCUUUAUUAGGGUUUCUAUUACUGUGAUAAAGGCUGUAACCAAACUUGGGGAGGAAAGGGUUUAUUUCACCUGCCACUUUCAGGUGAUGGUCCAUCACUGAGGGAAGUCAAGUCAGGAGCUCAAAGCAGCAAUUGAGGCCAUGGAGGAAUGCUGCUUACUGGCUUGCUCCUCACAGCUUUCUCAGCCUUCCUGCUUAGAGAACCCAGAACGAUCUGCCUUACCCACAGUGGGCGGGGCUCUCAUAUCAAUCACUAAUCAAAAAAAA